AUUGAACGCUAGCGGGAUGCUUUACACAUGCAAGUCGAACGGCAGCACAGAGGAACUUGUUCCUUGGGUGGCGAGUGGUCGGACGGGUGAGUAAUGUAUCGGAACGUGCCCAGUAGUGGGGGAUAACUACGCGAAAGCGUGGCUAAUACCGCAUAUUCUCUACGGAGGAAAGGGGGGGAUCAUUUGACCUCUCGCUAUUGGAGCGGCCGAUAUUAGAUUAGCUAGUUGGUGGGGUAACGGCCUACCAAGGCAGUGAUCUAUAGCUGGUUUGAGAGGACGACCAGCCACACUGGGACUGAGACACGGCCCAG
rnacentral:rRNA from 1 species